UACGUAGGCAGCGAGCGUUGUUCGGAGUUACUGGGCGUAAAGCGCGCGUAGGCGGCUUUGUAAGUUAGAGGUGAAAGCCCGGAGCUCAACUCCGGAAUUGCCUUUAAGACUGCAUCGCUAGAAUCAUGGAGAGGUGAGUGGAAUUCCGAGUGUAGAGGUGAAAUUCGUAGAUAUUCGGAAGAACACCAGUGGCGAAGGCGACUCACUGGACAUGUAUUGACGCUGAGGUGCGAAAGCGUGGGGAGCAAACAGG
rnacentral:rRNA from 1 species